rnacentral:rRNA from 1 species
CUAAGGCGAGGCCGACAGGCGUAGUCGAUGGACAACCAGUUGAUAUUCUGGUACCCGGAUGGAAGCGCCCGUGGUGAAUCAGUGAUACUAACCGCCCUGAAGCCUGAUGGCAGUCUUUUGGAUUGUUGUUGGUGUGGAUGCGUGGGAUCUGAUCUGGUAGUAGCCAAGCGAUGGUGUGACACAGGAAGGUAGCCGAGCCACUGAGUGGAUUGUGGUGUAAGCGUGUAGCCCGCAUGGUAGGUAAAUCCGCUGUGCAUGGUGGGUGAGGCGUGAUGCGUACCCCUUUUGUUGGGGGAUGUUGGUGAUCCUAUGCUGUCGAGAAAAGCAUCUAGCGAUGUUUCCAUCUGGCCCGUACCCCAAACCGACACAGGUGGUCAGGUAGAGAAUACUAAGGCGAUCGGGUGAACUGUGGUUAAGGAACUCGGCAAAAUGCCCCCGUAACUUCGGGAGAAGGGGGACCACUGCUGGUGACAGACUGGUUUUGAGCUGGUGGUGGUCGCAGAGAAUAGAGGGAAGCGACUGUUUACUAAAAACACAGGUCCAUGCGAAGACGAUAAGUCGAUGUAUAUGGACUGACGCCUGCCCGGUGCUGGAAGGUUAAGAGGACCUGUUAGUCACUUUGGUGGCGAAGCGGAGAAUUUAAGCCCCAGUAAACGGCGGUGGUAACUAUAACCAUCCUAAGGUAGCGAAAUUCCUUGUCGGGUAAGUUCCGACCUGCACGAAUGGCGUAACGACUUCCCUGCUGUCUCAACCACAGGCCCGGCGAAAUUGCAGUACGAGUAAAGAUGCUCGUUACGCGCGGCAGGACGAAAAGACCCCGGGACCUUCACUAUAGCUUGGUAUUGAUAUUCGGUUCGGUUUGUGUAGGAUAGGUGGGAGACUGUGAUCACAUGACGCCAGUUGUGUGGGAGUCGUUGUUGAAAUACCACUCUGGUCGUAUUGGAUAUCUUAACCUCGGCCCAUGAUCUGGGUUAGGGACAGUGCCUGGUGGGUAGUUUAACUGGGGCGGUUGCCUCCUAAAGAGUAACGGAGGCGCCCAAAGGUUUCCUCAGCCUGGUUGGCAAUCAGGUGGUGAGUGUAAGUGCACAAGGGAGCUUGACUGUGAGACUGACAGGUCGAGCAGGUACGAAAGUAGGGACUAGUGAUCCGGCACUGGCUUGUGGAAGCGGUGUCGCUCAACGGAUAAAAGGUACCCCGGGGAUAACAGGCUGAUCUUCCCCAAGAGUUCAUAUCGACGGGAUGGUUUGGCACCUCGAUGUCGGCUCGUCGCAUCCUGGGGCUGGAGUAGGUCCCAAGGGUUGGGCUGUUCGCCCAUUAAAGCGGCACGCGAGCUGGGUUUAGAACGUCGUGAGACAGUUCGGUCUCUAUCCGCCGCGCGCGUGGAAACUUGAACAAGGCUGUCCCUAGUACGAGAGGACCGGGAUGGACGUACCUCUAGUGUGCCAGUUGUCACGCCGGUGGCAUGGCUGGUUGGCUAUGUGCGGGAGGGAUAACCGCUGAAAGCAUCUAAGCGGGAAGCCUGUUGUGAGAUGAGGUUUCUGUUGAGGUUCCCUGUAGAUGAGGGGGUUGAUAGGUCGGAGUUGGAAGCAUCGUAAGGUGUUGUGAGAUGACCGAUACUAAUAUAACCGACGCAAACACAC